CCACUUCAGGAUGAUGAGGUCAUCUCUUAUCUCCUCACUGGCUUGAGUGAAGAAUAUGAACCACUGGUGACAUCGGUCACCACCAGAGCUAACGCCCUGACGCUGAGUGAGAUGUACAAUCAUCUUCUUAGCUUCAAGA